UCGCGCGGCGAGGGUCCCGGGCCGGGGGAUCCGCUUGCCGGGACCUCGCCAGAGGGCAAGGGUCGCGCUCUCGCCGGUGCUGAAGGUCCCUACCCCGAGAGCUGGCCGGAGUGACAAAGUCUUGGGCCGGUGCGGGACAGGGAUUGAGAAACGGAAAUACCACCACCCUCCAGCCAAACUUGUGAGGACUGAUUGCAGGGGAACUGGUGCUCCAGAUGUUGCACUAGAGGCGCUGCAAGUGUGAGCAGGUGGCAGUGGGCCUACAUCAUGGGUUGUAGCAGAUGUUCUCAACGUUUCUAUUGGAACUUCUUUAUAUUCCCUUGAAAGAGGAGCCCCAGAGCCUCAUCCCUGUGGUAGCUACCAUGCUCUGAUAUAAGAUGUUGUUCAUCAGGGAGCUUUGGCAAGAGAGUUGGCCAGAUGAACAAGUUCAUCUCCAUUGUGGAAAAACAACUUGAAGCUCAUCUCUGUUGAAGCUUGAUAGUUGUUUGGUGGAGGGACUGAUUCUAGAACUUCCUACUCUGUCAUCGUCCAUGAUACUACUCCCCACUGUGUUCAUUUUUAAAAGUGUUCCAGUUCGGACAUUAAGUUUUAUGGUCAUCCAUGGGCUUACACAGUUUGUCAAGAUCCAUCACCUUAACAGAUCAGACUGAAUUACUCCGAUGACUGGCAAAUGGGUGGCACUCGUGGAGAAGUGAAAGCAGCCAGAUGUACUGUCUGUAGGACAGGGGUAGACUGAAUACCUGCUUCACUGACUACCUGCUUCACAGCACCUUUCACAUUUUCUUGUUGGAAAGACAACCGUUGGAGAAUCAUCUUGUUACCAUCAGCAAAAAGGCAAACAAAUCAAGACAUUAAGAAUGCCACCGUGGCCGACAGUUAACGAUGCCAGUGUUACACAAGCUUCAGCAAAGUUUUCAAGACAGUGUGCCUCACUAGCCGGAAAUCAGGGAAAUCAGGGAAAUCAGGGAAAUCAGGGAAGACUGAACCUAUCCUUUUUGUCUCAGCUGUUUCUUAAACCUGUGCAAGCCCUCCAGAUGAGUGAGGGUUGAAACCUGCAUUGCCUUUUCAACUUAAUUGAGUACUUACCAUGGGUGGAUCACUGCACAAAAUAGGGGAGGGAAAAUGAGGGAGACAAGUAAGUUGUGUUUCCUGCCUUCAAUGGAUUUACAAUUAGUUUCAGGACCCUUUUUUUUUUUCUUCUGCUCUUAAUUAAGUGUGUUUCUAAGAUAGAAAACAAAUGAAUGCAUAAGUGUAUUCUACAAGUAUUUUAAAUCCCUUUAAUAAAAAACAAAACAAAACAAUCUAAUGUGGGCAACUCAGGACAUCUUAAUUCCAUUUUUUUUGGACUUUGAUAGGUAGGAUUUAUUUUAUUGAUUCUGUAAAUAUUUGGUAGACUUUAGAGAUAUUAACACAUUAGAGUUGGAAUUAAUUGAAUUAAAUUCUUUUUUCCCUCCUAGGUGUAGAUUGUCUGUUGAAAAAAUAUAUUGUGUUUGUACAUUUCUUGCAGAGUGAGUAGGUGAAUUACAUCUUUUGUCUCUAUAGGCCUCUACCUUCUGUGCCCUAGGAGCCUGACAUCCUGUGUGAGUUAUUAGUGUGGGGAAGGGGAAGAUUUGGGUCAAACUUGGAAAUAUUGUUCAUGGAGCCAAGAUAGGGCAGAGAUAGGAGCAAAACAGACCCAGGCAAUGACUCCGUCAGAAAAUUUGGCUAUUUCAGUAUUCAUGUUUUGUCCUCUAUGCUCCAAAAUUACUGUAUGGUGUUUUUUGAAAAACUUAUUUCUGAUCUGGGUAUAAGUCAUGAUUUUUCCAGUGUGAAGACACAAAAAUGACUAUAGAUACUAGACAUAUUAUGUAGUGUUUGUAACACAUUUUAGUAUGUAUGAAGUAACGAUAGACAUGUCUUUGUCUUGAGUAGUGUCCAUCUGAAUGGAAAAUGUGCCAGCUUUUUUUUUUUAAAUAUCAUCGACAGACUUCUUAAUUAAGCUGCCAAUAAUACUGCCAACAGCACUGCGCAUCAUUUGAGAAAUGAAUUGUGAAGUGCUGUUUCCCUCUUAUGUUGCCCCAUAUAAAAUGGACUUAAAGUGUUCUUUGAAUGGGACAUAUAUUGCUCCCUAAAGAAUUUGAUGAGAAUUCUCAUACCUUCCCUUUUUACUUAAUUUCCAAAAGCCUUUAUUUUGCUGCUCGGUAAAGAAUCGUUCUAAUGACUUUAAUUAUAUGAUCCAUCCUUAGUAGGAUGAAUCGUGCUGCCCCGAAACUCCAAUGGUGUUACUGGUUAUUCAUUAAUCUGAGUUCCAAAACCAUAUUGUACUAAAUUGUAGACAUUUAUUUCCUGUUCUGGGAAAUUUUUUGGAGGGACCAUCUCUGUGUUCCUGGACCUAGCACAGUGCCUGGUGCAUAAUAGGUAUGUUUGAGUAAACAC